rnacentral:rRNA from 1 species
GGGUUGUGAGGUUAAGCGACUAAGCGUACACGGUGGAUGCCCUGGCAGUCAGAGGCGAUGAAGGGCGUGCUAAUCUGCGAUAAGCGCCGGUAAGGUGAUAUGAACCGUUAUAACCGGCGAUACCCGAAUGGGGAAACCCAGUGUGAUUCGUCACACUAUCAUUAACUGAAUCCAUAGGUUAAUGAGGCGAACCGGGGGAACUGAAACAUCUAAGUACCCCGAGGAAAAGAAAUCAACCGAGAUUCCCCCAGUAGCGGCGAGCGAACGGGGAGGAGCCCAGAGCCUGAAUCAGCAUGUGUGUUAGUGGAAGCGUCUGGAAAGGCGCGCGAUACAGGGUGACAGCCCCGUACACAAAAGCGCAUGUGCUGUGAGCUCGAUGAGUAGGGCGGGACACGUGGUAUCC